rnacentral:rRNA from 1 species
GACGGAGGAGGCUAGCGUUGUUCGGAAUUACUGGGCGUAAAGCGUGCGCAGGUUGUGAGCUCAGUUGGAUGUGAAAGCCCGGGGCUUAACCUCGGAUGUGCAUCCAAUACUGGCUCGCUGGAGGUUGGAAGAGGAGAGUGGAAUUCCCAGUGUAGAGGUGAAAUUCGUAGAUAUUGGGAAGAACACCAGUGGCGAAGGCGGCUCUCUGGUCCAUACCUGACACUCAUGCACGAAAGCGUGGGGAGCAAACAGG